CUCUUAGAUGUUCUGGGCCGCACACGCGCUACACUGAAGGAGGCAGCGUGUACUCCUGGAUCGAAAGAUUUGGGUAACCCGCGAAUCUCCUUCGUGCUAGGGAUUGAGGUUUGCAAUUAUCCUUCAUGAACGAGGAAUUCCCAGUAAGUGCAAGUCAUAAGCUUGCGCUGACUACGUCCCUGCCCUUUGUACACACCGCCCGUCGCUACUACCGAUUGAAUGAUUUAGUGAGGACUUCGGACUGGGACCGAUGCGGCUUUCGGGCUGCGUCGGUAUUCUGGAAAGAUGUCCAAACUGUAUCAUUUAGAGGAAGUAAAAGUCGUAACA
rnacentral:rRNA from 1 species